GUGUAUGCUAAGGCAACACAUAUAGUAAAAUUGGAAUGCUACAGUGCAUGGUCCCUGUGCAAGGAUGACAUGCAAAAUCAAAUAGUCAAAACAGUCUGG
ensembl:snRNA U6 U6 spliceosomal RNA